rnacentral:rRNA from 1 species
CCUACGGGAGGCAGCAGUGAGGAAUAUUGGUCAAUGGACGAGAGUCUGAACCAGCCAAGUAGCGUGAAGGAUGGCUGCCCUAUGGGUUGUAAACUUCUUUUAUAUGGGAAUAAAAUGUUCCACGUGUGGGAUUUUGUAUGUACCAUAUGAAUAAGGAUCGGCUAACUCCGUGCCAGCAGCCGCGGUAAUACGGAGGAUCCGAGCGUUAUCCGGAUUUAUUGGGUUUAAAGGGAGCGUAGGUGGAUUGUUAAGUCAGUUGUGAAAGUUUGCGGCUCAACCGUAAAAUUGCAGUUGAAACUGGCGGUCUUGAGUACAGUAGAGGUGGGCGGAAUUCGUGGUGUAGCGGUGAAAUGCUUAGAUAUCACGAAGAACUCCGAUUGCGAAGGCAGCUCACUGGACUGCAACUGACACUGAGGCUCGAAAGUGUGGGUAUCAAACAGGAUUAGAUACCCGGGUAGUC